UACAGAGGGGGCAAGCGUUGUUCGGAAUUACUGGGCGUAAAGGGCGCGUAGGCGGCCUUCUAAGUCGAACGUGAAAUCCCUGGGCUCAACCCAGGAACUGCGUCCGAUACUGAAAGGCUUGAAUCCGGGAGAGGGAUGCGGAAUUCCAGGUGUAGCGGUGAAAUGCGUAGAUAUCCGGAGGAACACCGGUGGCGAAGGCGGCUUCCUGGACCGACACUGACGCUGAGGCGCGAAAGCCAGGGGAGCAAACGGG
rnacentral:rRNA from 1 species